UAAAAUGAAAUAUUACUUAGUCAUAAAAAAGAAUGAAAUAAUGCCAUUUGCAACAACUUAGAUGCAAAUAGAGAUUAUCAUUUUAAGUGAAGUAAAUCAGAAAGGAAGAUAAAUACCAUAUAAUGUCACUUAUAUGCAGAAUCUAAAAAAAG